AGCAGCCGCGGUAAUUCCAGCUCCAAUAGCGUAUAUUAAAGUUGUUGCAGUUAAAAGCUCGUAGUUGAAUUUCGGGGUUAGUAGGUUGGUCAUGCCUCUGGUAUGUACUGGUCUCACUGAUUCCUCCUUCCUGAUGAACCUUAAUGCCAUUAAUUUGGUGUUUUGGGGAAUUUGGACUGUUACUUUGAAAAAAUUAGAGUGUUUAAAGCAAGCUAACGCUUGAAUACAUUAGCAUGGAAUAAUGAAAUAGGACGUUCGAUCCUAUUUUGUUGGUUUCUAGGAUUGACGUAAUGAUUAAUAGGGAUAGUUGGGGGCAUUAGUAUUCAAUUGUCAGAGGUGAAAUUCUUGGAUUUAUUGAAGACUAACUACUGCGAAAGCAUUUGACAAGGAUGUUUUCAUUAAUCAAGAACGAAAGUUAGGGAUCGAAGACGAUCAGAUACCGUCGUAGUCUUAACCAUAAACUAUGCCGACUAGGGAUCGGAUGAUGUUAAUUUUUUAAUGACUCAUUCGGCGCCUUACG
rnacentral:misc_RNA from 1 species